CGCCACAACGCCUGGUCUCUUUCGCUCUCCGCCUAAACCCUCAGUCCCUCACCGCUCCCAGAUCGACGACCUCGCCGACUCCCGCCAUGAGCGCCGCCGAGGCCGCCCCAGCCGCGGCGGACGGCGGCAAGGAGCUCGUCCACCCGCACCCGGACGCCGCGCUCACGCCCGACCAAGGAGACCCUGCCCUCGUCUCCUCUCGGGGCAAGGUCAGGAACAAUCUGGAACGACAACGCGAUCUUCAUUCCAUACUUCCAUGCUUCUUGUGUCGCCCUUUCUCCCAUUUGCUCCUCUUGCUCUUUCGGUCCGGCUGAUCUGAUCUGGGGCUCUACAACGCGAACGUGCACGACGGGGACAAAGAAAAAUCUGAAGAUGAUUCUAUUAAUAGAUCUAGUUAAGGGGGCUAGCUUGUUGUGAAGCAGGAGGAGAACUCCCUGAAGAUCUUCCUUUCAGGCAGGAGGUCGUUGCAAACCAGUUGGAAGAUCUACAAAUUUCCUCACCUCUCGAUCAUGACAUACUGUAAGUUCAUGUCAAAUUCUCAUGCAGCAAUCCCUGUUUUCUUGCCUUCGCAAUGACAUCGCGUCACUUAAUAUUUGAAAUGCAAGUACUUUGUCUGACAAUCUGAAGAAAUUUCAAAUAGUACUCCUUAAUUGAAUGAUAUGCAUCAUUUUUUUCAUACUCAUAAUGCAAAUAGAAUUGGAGUUUGAACCACUAAUUAAACACUUGCUUGGUGAUAUCCCAGUAAUUUAGUAAAUUCACCAAGAUACCUACAUUCCAUCCAUCUUUAUUGUUUCAUUCUCUGUAAACAUUUUUCUUAAGGCAAAAAAAAUCAAGAGAAGGCACACGAUGUACGCAGAGAAAAGGGUGAAGACACGCUCUAACAAUACAUUUACGUAAAAUCAUGGUCGUCCAACACUCAUGGGGCUCAGUUUGCUUUUAUCGGUAUUGUGUUUAGAGCUCAUUCAGUGACUAGCUGACCACUCUGUGUUGUUAAAAGGAAAAUUCAAGCUAAUACUCUUGUUGGCCAGGAAGAGGGAAAGUGAGCUCUGGCACUCUUGGACUUCUUGAUAAUACAUUUAACAGCCAGUUACCAAUCGUGCAUCAAUGUGUUACAAUAAUCCACACCACAAAGAAGUUCCCACUUUAUUAUAAUUUUUAAAACUCAUGUUAUUCCUAGUACAAAUUUUAAUGUGCCACAUUGUUAAAUGAGGUUAGGGUUGCCUAUAUAGUUACAAGCAUACCAUUGUUAGAGAAAUCAACCCUAUCCUGCCCCGAUCACUUCAACUUGCAACCUGCACUAUUUGACCAGAUCUUCCCUAAUUGAUAACUGACAAGCAAUUGUGGUUCAUGAUUGGUGUAACAAGCCAGAAAACACUAGCAUACCCAGCAUCUCCAUCAUCAUGUCCCCCACCUGCUGUGUACUUCUCUCCACUAAGGUUGGUAAUUGAACAUGCUUUUCCUAUUCUUGUAUUAUCAUUUCUCAGCUUGAAGCCUUGAACCCGUUUAAUUUGUAUCUCUAUGGUCUAGUGAGCUCUAUAAUGGAACCUGUUUACUUAAGGAUUUUAUCUGUCUUUUUCUGCAUCCUCAACUUUUCAGCACCUAUAAGCCACCGCUCACAAUGCCUGGACAUUGAGAGUUGUACUAUGAUGAUCUCAUUGUCAAAUUCACAAGUCGUGCUAUGGAAGCAUUCAAAUUAAUUCAAGAAAAGGAGCCUAAUUUGGUGUUUAUUUUUCGAAAGAUCCUGAACCUUGCGGUUCGGCGUAUAUUAAUAAGAAGAGAAUUGAUCCUGUUUAUAGGUAAACCAGGCCCAAAAACCGCACAAACGAAUUACAAAACCUACAACUACAGCACCUACAACUAGCAACACCGGCCGGUUGGAUUGGGACAUCAACCGGGACUCACUCGACUUUGGCUCGUCGGAUUGGGACAUCGACAUGAGCCACAAGGUCGGAUUGGGACACCGACCCGAGCUACCACAACCUACACUCCGCCUGGUCGGAUUGGGACAUAGACACGAGCCACCACAACCUACACUCCGCCUGGUCGGAUUGGGACAUAGACACGAGCCACCACAACCUACACUCCGCCCAGUCGGAUUAGGACAUCGACCCGAGCCACCACAACCCUAAAGAAAAGAGAAAGGAAGGAAAAGAAGAAGAAAGCCCUUUUGGAAGCCGCCAACGCCGAGGCACCUCUAUGCCGGAAAAGCUUGACAUUGCCUUUAAGAAGGUCAGGACGACGAAGACGUCGUCGAUGCCAGCCCAAGAAGGGUUGGGCUUUCACCCGCCACAUCCGACAUGGAAAACUGACGCCCAAAACAUUGGCCACAGACGAGAGCAAGGUCCGAGCCAAAGAUGCUCGACGUCGCCUUCAGGAAGGAAAUGACGCCAAUGGCGCCAUCAACGCCGUCCCAAGAAGGGAUGGGUUUUCACCCGCAUCGUCAUCACGAUGAUAAGGCGGCCGGCGUCACCAACCAACUACGAUGGUGUUGUUAGCGAGCCUCCGCACAGCUGCAGCCAACGACGCCACCACGGCGACACUAGCAAACAUCCGAGCAAAACCGUUGUCAGCACACGCCACCACGGCGCCGCCAACACACCGCGGCGCAGGUAGACCAGACACCGCCGAGAGCGGGGCGCCGAGCGCGGCCGUCGCUCGCCCUUCGGCCGCCAAGGCCGCGGACGUCGUCGUCCACACCCUCGCCAGCAACGCACCGCCGCACGCCAGCUGCAGCGAGCGCCGCCGCGGCCGGCCCCGCAGUGCCGUGCCCUGUCGCGCCAAGCCGUGACCGCCGCCACCGCCGCACCUAGCAGCGCCAAGCCGCGCAAGGCCACGCCCCGCGCCCCACCACGCUAGGUCGCGAGCGCCGCCACCAACGCACCUCCACACCAGGCCACGAGCCACGCCGCCGCUGCCGCACCCCGCCCCAGGGAGGGCAGAUCCGUUGACCGGGAGUGCGGAUCUGGCCGCGGGCUGCCGGGAACGGCCGCCGCCGCCACGGACAGGCAGCCACCAAGAGAGGGCGAGAGGGAGGAAAAGAGAGGAGGAGGGAGGUUGGAGCCCCGCCGCCGCCUUCCUCACGGCCGGCGGCGAGACAUGGGAGCCGGGGUUUGGGAGGCGGUGGCGCCCGGGGUAGGGUUCCGCCCGAGCCGUCCCUGGAAGGAGCGACUCGGGGGUCGUAAUUUGGAGUAUCAAUCGAUUAAGUUUGCAGAAAGCUCGGUAGAACAUCAUAACAAUGAUCCAAACAAUGAAGUAUGUCAUAAUGACGAACCUUGCACUUUGUCUUAUGUUGAAUUUAUUUAGAAUUUCUACACCCAAUUGUCAGGUGAAGUACAAGCUUAUCAAGGCGAUGGAGAGCAGAUACAUGUUUGAGUCUGACAGUGCCUAUGGCCAUGUCAGCUUCAUGGCAAGGCCAAUGAAAGAUGGUUCCAAGGAACAGCUAUUCUUUGCAUAGCUGCGUCUACAUGGAGAGAUGACAUUUUUGACGUGCUUUUGCUUCUUAAAAGAAGAAGAUCAAGUUGGUGGCCGUAUGGAGAUGUGUAGGGAAGGCAAAGGUAUAAACCUAGAGCACUGCUACGCCUGUGGAGAUGCACUGAAACACCCAAGAGAUGGAGCAUCGUAUCGCGCUGGCCAUCGUAUGAAGCUUAGAUGCUAUUAGUGUCCGUGAUCAGUGUGCGUUUGAUAGCUGGGGUAUCGCCUGAUCAGCCGAUGUUCAAUUAAUGUGUCAAUUCUUCCUUUUGUUUAUCAACUUGCAACAUUUAGCAAACAACAGUGUGUACAUGAACAGUUGGAUGUGAAUAUUAGAGAGAAUCAUGGUGCAGUUUUCAUUUUCUUCCUUUUUUUGGAAGUCGGGAGGUGAGACCCCUACCUAACUUGUUGUAAUCAUGCAGAAAACUGUGCAGAUGCACAUAAAAGAGCUGGAACCAAAAAUGAGACCCCAAAGAGUACAAAAUAAUACAGACAAACAUUUGUCUGUAUUGUAGUUCUAUUUCA